rnacentral:tRNA from 1 species
GGAAGUAUGGCUGAGUGGUAAGGCGACACGCUGCUAACGUGUAAAACCGAAAGGUUUCGGAGGUUCGAAUCCUUCUGCUUCCGCAA